GACGAACGCUGAUGGCGUGCUUAAUACAUGCAAGUAGAACGCAGUUGCGAACGGGUGAGUAACGCGUAGGUAACUGCCUCCUAGCGGGGGAUAACUAUUGGAAACGAUAGCUAAUACCGCUUACAGUUAGAUGGACCUUUGUUGUAUUAGCUAGUUGGUGGGGUAAAGGCUCACCAAGGCGACGAUACAUAGCCGACCUGAGAGGGUGAUCGGCCACACUGGGACUGAGACACGGCCCAGACUCCUACGGGAGGCAGCAGUAGGGAAUCUUCGGCAAUGGACGGAAGUCUGACGGAGCAACGCCGCGUGAGUGAAGAAGGUUUUCGGAUCGUAAAGCUCUGUUGUUAGAGAAGCGGUAACUAAACAGAAAGGGACGGCUAACUACGUGCCAGCAGCCGCGGUAAUUC
rnacentral:rRNA from 1 species